GGUCCAGACUCCUACGGGAGGCAGCAGUGAGGAAUAUUGGUCAAUGGCCGAGAGGCUGAACCAGCCAAGUCGCGUGAGGGAUGACGGCCCUACGGGUUGUAAACCUCUUUUGUCGGGGAGCAAAGAGAGUCACGUGUGGCUCAUUGAGAGUACCCGAAGAAAAAGCAUCGGCUAACUCCGUGCCAGCAGCCGCGGUAAUACGGAGGAUGCGAGCGUUAUCCGGAUUUAUUGGGUUAAAGGGUGCGUAGGCGGAUUUUUAAGUCAGCGGUAAAAUGUCCGGGCUCAACCCGGGCCGGCCGUUGAAACUGGGGAUCUUGAGUGGGCGAGAAGUAUGCGGAAUGCGUGGUGUAGCGGUGAAAUGCAUAGAUAUCACGCAGAACUCCGAUUGCGAAGGCAGCAUACCGGCGCCCGACUGACGCUGAGGCACGAAAGCGUGGGGAUCGAACAGGAUUAGAUACCCCGGUA
rnacentral:rRNA from 1 species